rnacentral:lncRNA from 1 species
ACAAUUGCUGGACUGGCUUAUAGUUCAAUGAGGCUCACUGCCUUUGGAGAUGGUGAUUAUAACCUCUGGCUGGUGAUACAUACUCUUCAUUUCUGGUUGAGGUGAGGGAUUUUUACUUACUGAUAUACUUUUUCAUUUAUUUAAUCACACAUUUAUAAGACAUCUGUAAUGAAAUGAAAUCUAAACAAAGAAAACAAAAUGAAUUUAGUUGAUCUUCUGAUCAAAGAUCUUUCCAAAAUCUAUGCUUUUAUCUGAACUAGUGCUCAAGGGCCAUGAUUAAGAAAUAAUUUUCAGUGAGAGUGCAUUCACUCACUGAUUCUAUUUCUUAGGGAGUUUUUUUCCUAUGAAGAAAACCUGUCUCAAAAUGGUAGUCAGUUAUUGACCAAAUAAUACAUUUAUCUACCUUUUCUGCUAGAAGUUUUCUUUUUUUCUUCUUUUUUUUUUUUUUUUUUUUUUUGAGACAGAGUCUCACUCUGUUACCAGGCUCCAAGCUGGAGUGCAGUGAGCCGAGAUCGCGCCAUUGCACUCCAGCCUGGGUAACAAGAGUGAAACUCAGUCUCAAAAAAAAAAAAAAAAAUUACAGUUUUACAACCCCUUUACUCUAUUAAUAAUUCACAUUGAUUACAUAAAAAGGGAUAAUUGAAUACAUGGUAAACAGAAAUAUAAACAAUCUAUUGUGGGAGUUUGAGGAGGAUCAAGGAAGGCUUUGUGGACCAGGUGUCAUGAUUAAAUAAACCUUAAAGAAUUAAUCAUUUUGUUAAGUGGAGGUUACAAAUAUGAGACUUAAGUCCAGUUCUGGAGAGGGGCCAGUCUGAUAUGGUCAAAGUAAAGUACAGGCUUCUAGUGGUUCAGUUCCCUCCACAGUUCCUUUAGGGGUGGAGAAAUACCAUACGCUUUAGACAAAUCACAAGUUUGCUAAUUUGAGUUUUCAUAAAUGUCAGUAAAAAAGUAAUUUUUAGGUUACAAUCUACACAGAGAAUCUGGAGAGUCCAUACCCAAUGUUGUGAAAAAGAGCAGAUUUUUAUAUUUUAGAAAAGAGUGGAUAAUCAGCUUGAAAGUUUACAAGGAACUCAAUUGAGGAACCAAAAAUGCAAUGAACACUACACUGUUUACAAAGCAUGCUGUCAUUUGCAGGUUA